rnacentral:rRNA from 1 species
AUGAACGCUGGCGGCGUGCCUAAUACAUGCCAGUCGAGCGAACGGACGAGAAGCUUGCUUUUCUGAUGUUAGCGGCGGACGGGUGAGUAACACGUGGAUAACCUACCUAUAAGACUGGGAUAACUUCGGGAAACCGGAGCUAAUACCGGAUAAUAUUUUGAACCGCCUGGUUCAAAAGUGAAAGACGGUCUUGCUGUCACUUAUAGAUGGAUCCGCGCUGCAUUAGCUAGUUGGUAAGGUAACGGCUUACCAAGGCAACGAUGCAUAGCCGACCUGAGAGGGUGAUCGGCCACACUGGAACUGAGACACGGUCCAGACUCCUACGGGAGGCAGCAGUAGGGAAUCUUCCGCAAUGGGCGAAAGCCUGACGGAGCAACGCCGCGUGAGUGAUGAAGGUCUUCGGAUCGUAAAACUCUGUUAUUAGGGAAGAACAUAUGUGUAAGUAACUGUGCACAUCUUGACGGGACCUAAUCAGAAAGCCACGGCUAACUACGU